GUUAGUAACAUUAUGACAUAAACACCUUAGAAUUAAGGGUCACAUGUACAUGGUUCUCCUUGAAGUCAAGGAAUGGAUUGAACUUGGAAUCCUUAAAGUUAAGGAUUGAUCGUACUCACCUAAUAGUCCUUGCUCGAGGGCGGUAGCUCCCCCUCGGGCGAUGUGCUCCGGAGUUGUCAUCACUGGGUCGUAGCGGUUAUCUCCCCAGAGGGCGGUCCCGUCGGGUUGUAGCGGUUAUCUCCCCGACAAUAGGGAUUUGGGUUGGUGAGUUUGUGAGGGCGAAACCUACGGGCUAGCCAUGAGAUUGGGUAAUGAAAAGUUAAUCUUGCAUUCAUCAUGAGCAUUCUAUCGAGCAUAGUUUUAUUUAUUGUUCAGGCAUAUUAGCUGCAUUUGUUAGUUGGUUAUUAUCUAUUCUUUCUUCUAUUAUGCCUGAUUAGACCUAGUGGGAUAGUCGGCGUGGUUGGUUGCCGAACCCACUGGGAACUUUGUUGUAGUUCUCACCCCACUAUUUCCACAGAGCCGGGACCGAGCGAGCCGGCAGAUGAUCGCGGUAAGGGCAUCGCGCCCUAGGUAGAGACCGCCCGAGAUGGAUUUCAUUUUGUAGUUGCACACCCUUUACUAUCAUCUUUUGUAUUUGAUGAUUUUAGUAUUAUGAACUUGCUUUAAUGAAUGAUGUAAAGAAUAUUUACUUUAAAUGUCAAAAGUUAUAUUUUGGGAGAAAUGAGAUGUAAAAAGAAAUGAUGCAAGAAUGUGACAGAACUUGAUUAUAGUUGGAUACAUGUAUGUGAUUUAAAUUUAGUCAUAUUACUUGUAUACUGAAUGGUUAAUUCUUUCACCUUGGCUAUUGCUUGUCCUCGUGCAAGCCAUUGUGUAUGCUUCCGCUUAUGCAAAUUUGUACUCUAUUGAUACUAGUGUUGAGCCUUGGGCGGACAGGGGAAGCUCUGUCCGUUCGGCGUCUGUUUGACGCUCUCGAACCGGCCAAAAAGGAUCGGGCUCGGGGCGUGACAGAUAUUAUGGUAUCAGAGCGUAAAAGAGCCAAAGGUGAAAGCAUAGGAUGGACCUAGAGACCCUUAGGAAUGGAAAGACCUUAAGGAUCUAGGGAAACGUGAGUGACGUUGAACAAGUUAUAGCGAAGGCAUGGAUUGGGUUGAUGUAAUUAUGUCUCUAAUGUGGUUAGGGACUAAACUUAAGUUGUUAUUUGUUUUCUUUUCCUUGUGUUGUGAUCGGCGGCCGACGACAUGAUGCUUUGGAAGGAAAAUAAAUGCACUUGUAUGCUUUCGCCAGAUUGGGUAUAAUCGAGUAUAUUGUCUGAGUGACUAACGUGAAUUGCUUCAUUUCAGGAAGCGAUGCCGCCUCGUGGACGACCUAAGUUGCCUCGUGGUCGACCACGGACGAGGUCUAUGGCCGAGGAGCCAAGUGCGGCUCCCGCGCAACCCGGAGCAGGUGGCGACGGGGAGCUUCGGGAGCAGAUGGCCGCGCUUAUUGGCGUAGUGCGGCAGCAGGCGGAGUCCGUUCAGCGCCAAGGGGAGCAGAUCCAGAGGCUCCAGGAGGCGUUGGAGCGGCAACAGGCGGCGGCGGCGGCGCCCGGGGAGGCCGUGCACCCCGCGCCUCCUGCAGUGGUGCCGAGUGCUGCCGAGGGUGUGGCCGCGGCGGCCGUGCCAGUUACGAUGGUGCCGGCAGGAUCGGGGACCUCAAAUCCCGAUAGUGCGGCGGAGGAGGCGGAGCGGGAGCGCACGUUGGCAGCUCUCAUUCAGUUUCAGAAGUUCAACCCACCCACCUUCGAAGGUGGAGUGGUGGAGCCGGCGAUCGUGGAGUCAUGGAUCGACUCCAUGGAGACACUCUUUGAGGAUCUUAACACCUUGGAGAGGGACAAGGUGUACCUCGCCACACAUUGCCUCGAGAAGGCGGCGAAGGUGUGGUGGAAGCGUGUUAGGCGGGAUCGAUCGCCCGAUCUUCCGCCUAUGAUGUGGGAGGAGUUUCGGAGGGCGGUGUUUGCCAACUACUUCCCCGAUACGGUGAAGCGGAAGUUGCAAGAGAAAUUCCGCAAGUUGCGACAGGGGGACCGCUCCGUGGCAGACUACGAGCAGGAGUUUUCUCACCUUAUCGACUGCGUCCCGGAGGUUGUUCGUGAUGACCGGGACCGGGCUGACUGGUUCUUACGAGGACUCCAGCCGAGGAUCUACGAGAGGGUGCAAAUCCUCAAGUUGACGACCUUUGCGGAGGUCUUUGAUCGAGCCCUGUGGGUGGAGCACGGCAGCGCCCACGGGCGAGAGGAGCGCGAGGCAAUGGCGGAGUCAAGGGACAAGGGGAAGAAGCGGGCGGCGGGCGGUGCCGGGGGCCGGUCAAAUGCAAAAAAAACCCCUCGGUAUCCCCGACAGCAGUCGAGGAGUGGCAGGCCGUUCCGUUGUGUCAUUUGCGGUGGCGAUCAUCGGCCACCGGUAUGCCCGUAGCGCGAGGGAAAGUGCUUCAGGUGCGGCCAGCCCGGGCACAUGUCGCUGGAGUGCCAGAGCUGGGGUUCUUCUGCACCUACCUCGGCAUCAGUUCCUUAUACCCCGAGACAGCAGGCGGGGUUACCACCGGCUAUGUCGGCUGGACGUUUAUCUUCUUCGCGCCAGCCGGAGGCAUCGAGGGCACCGAGUGGGCGGGUUUUUGCCACUCAGGUGCAGGAGGAGCCGAUUCCUGUCCCCGACGACAUCGUGGCAGGUAUUAUCUCGAUCAGAGGCACCAGAGCUAGAGCUUUAUUCGACACAGGUGCAUCGCAUUCAUUCAUAGAUGCAUUAUUCGCUAGGACUCAUGGCAUUAAGAUUGUGCACCAUUAUGACUAUUGGACGGUAAAUUUGGUCAAGCAUACUUUUCAUGUUCACGAAGAAUGUGUAGCGUGCCCAGUGCAGAUAGGUGACUGGGUCAUGCCGAUUGAUCUAUUGGUGUUGAACCGGAUGUGGGGUUUCGACGUGAUCUUGGGGACCAAUUGGCUCUCCAAGUAUUAUGCCGUGAUAGAUUGGGAAAGUAAGGUGAUCACGUUUCGUGAACAUGAUCGGGAGGAGCUAGUGUAUCAGGCAGCUAAAAGCUCGCUGUUCGCGGCGACUGUGUCGGCGGUACGGGCGAGAAAAAUGAUAAAGGGCGGUUGUGUGGCCUACUUGGCGACAAUGGUAGAAGCCCAAAAAGAGCACCCGGAUUUUGGAGGCAUUCGGGUGGUGUGUGAAUUUCCGGAUGUGUUUCCGGCGGAGUUACCGGGAUUGCCUCCGGACCGGGAGAUCGAGUUCGUUAUUGACUUGGUCCCGGGGGCGGCGCCAAUCUCGAAGGCCCCGUAUAGAAUGGCACCGGCUGAGCUAAAAGAGCUUAAGGCGCAGUUGCAAGACUUGCUAGACAAAGGCUUUGUAAGGCCGAGUGUGUCGCCUUGGGGAGCUCCGGUGCUAUUCGUUAAGAAGAAGGACGACACACUUCGACUCUGCGUGGAUUACCGCGAGUUGAACAAGGUCACCGUGAAGAAUAAGUACCCGCUGCCGAGGAUUGAUGAUUUAUUCGAUCAGCUGCAGGGGUCAAGGGUAUAUUCAAAGAUUGAUCUUCAAUCGGGGUAUCAUCAGUUGAAGAUACGGCCCGAGGAUGUGCACAAGACGGCGUACCGUACGCGGUAUGGCCAUUAUGAGUUCACGGUGAUGCCGUUUGGGCUUACUAACGCCCCGGCGGCGUUCAUGGACUUAAUGAAUAGAGUCUUCCGUCCGCUAUUGGACCGGUGCGUCGUGGUAUUCAUUGACGACGUAUUGGUAUAUUCUCGGACCGAGGAAGAACACGAGGAGCACUUGAGGACCGUGUUGGAAAUACUCCGAAAAGAGAAGUUAUAUGCCAAGUUGAAGAAAUGCGACUUUUGGCUAUCGGAGGUCACUUUCCUUGGUCAUGUAAUUUCGGGCGAUGGUAUCUCGGUGGAUCCGGGGAAAGUGGAGGCAAUUAAGGAUUGGCCUCGCCCGACGAGUGUAUCGGAGGUCCGCAGUUUCCUAGGGCUAGCGGGCUACUACCGGCGGUUCGUGGAGGGGUUUGCUAAAAUAACUACUCCACUAACGCGCCUUACACACAAAGGGGUGAAGUAUGUUUGGAGCCCCGAAUGCGAGCGAAGCUUCGAGGAGUUAAAGGAAAGGUUGACCACGACCCCGGUGCUUGCUCUACCGACGCCGGGGGAGACCUUUGUGGUAUAUAGUGAUGCUUCCUACGUGGGACUCGGGUGUGUCUUGAUGCAAAACGGGCGGGUUAUAGCUUAUGCUUCACGCCAACUGAAGACUUAUGAGAAGAACUACCCGAUUCAUGAUCUUGAGCUAGCGGCGGUUAUUUUCGCGCUAAAGCUAUGGAGGCAUUACCUAUAUGGGGAACAUUGUGAGAUCUAUACGGAUCACAAAAGCCUUAAGUACCUGUUCACCCAAAAGGAGUUGAAUAUGCGACAGCGGCGGUGGUUAGAAUUGUUGAAAGACUAUGAUGUUACUAUUCUAUACCACCCCGGGAAGGCGAAUGUCGUAGCCGAUGCACUUAGUAGAAAAUCGGGGGAAAAUUUGGCUUCGGCAAUUACACCCCAACCAUUACUACAAAAGGAGAUGCAACAGCUUGGAUUGGAGGUGGUAGCACCGGGAGUACCGGCGACACUUGCGGCGUUGGUUGUUCAACCGACGCUAUUGGAGAAGAUUAAAGAGUUGCAAGCUUCAGAUGAAUAUCUCCAAAAGGUGCGUGGGGAAGUUGAGAGCGGUAGUGCCGAUGAUUUUGGCAUUGGGACCGACGGCGCACUCCGGUUUAGAAACCGUUGGUGUGUGCCUAAGAAUAAGGACAUCCGCAGGGCGAUCAUGCAAGAGGCGCACCAAUCCCCUUAUAGUAUACACCCGGGCGGCACCAAAAUGUAUCAAGAUUUGAAGUUGCACUAUUGGUGGCCGGGCAUGAAGAAAGACAUUGGGGAGUUUGUGGCGCAAUGCCUUACUUGCCAACAAGUAAAAGCGGAGCGACGGUUUCCGGCGGGAAAGUUGCAAAGUUUACCUAUACCCGUUUGGAAAUGGGAAAAUAUUGCAAUGGACUUCGUGACCGGGUUGCCUCGAUCUCAAGGUGGGCACGAUGCAAUUUGGGUGAUUGUAGACCGGUUGACGAAGUCGGCGCAUUUCCUACCGAUUCAUAUUACUUGGUCGGGGGACAAGUUGGCUCAAGUGUAUAUUGACGAGAUUGUGAGACUUCAUGGGGUGCCCGUGUCUAUUGUGUCGGAUCGGGACCCGAGGUUCACCUCUCACUUUUGGAGGAGCCUACAGGAGGCUUUGGGCACGCGGCUCGACUUUAGCACGGUAUUUCAUCCUCAAAGUGAUGGUCAAUCGGAGAGGACAAUACAAAUACUUGAGGAUAUGCUUCGAGCGUGUGUACUGGAUUAUAAGGGCAAUUGGCAUGAUCAUCUUCCGAUGGCGGAGUUCGCGUACAAUAACAAUUAUCAAGAAAGUAUCGCGAUGGCGCCAUUCGAGGCCCUUUAUGGAAAGAAGUGUCGCUCUCCAAUUCAUUGGAGCGAUGUGGGCGAAAGGGCGACUCUUGGCCCCGAUGUAGUGCGGGAGGCGGAGGAGAAAGUCCAUCUUGCUCACCAAAGGCUUGCUACGGCGCAAUCCCGGCAAAAGAGCUAUGCCGACAAGCGGAGGAAAGAUAUAGAAUUUGCCGUUGAAGACCACGUGUUUCUAAAGAUUUCGCCAAUGCGAGGGAUUAAGCGGUUCGGAAUCCGUGGGAAGCUAUGUCCCCGGUACCUUGGACCGUUCGAGAUACUAGAAUGGGUCGGCGCGGUGGCGUACAAGGUAGCGUUACCACCGAGGCUUGCGGGAGUGCAUGAUGUGUUUCACGUGUCAAAUCUCCGCAAGUAUGUUCACGACCCCGAGCAUGUCCUCUCGUUUGAACCGUCCAAGAUUCAUAAGUAUGUUCACUUAUGAGGAGUUCCCGGCAUACAUUAUCGAUCGAGAAGUAAGAAAACUACGAAAUCGCGAGAUUCCGUAUGUUAAAAUUCGUUGGUGUAAUCACGACUACCGGGAAGCUACUUGGGAGCUCGAGAGCGCAAUGAGAGAAUAUUACCCUCAUCUCUUCGACGAGCUGAAUUGAGGUAUGAAUUUAAGUUAAAUUAAACUAGUUUUGCGGACGAAACUAAAUAUAAGGGGUGGAGAAUGUAACGUAUCGAAACCCGAAAACGAUAAUCGAACUUUAAUCAAAUUGGUUAAAGUGUCGAGAGAAAUGGAUUGGUAAGUUCCAUUUUGCAUUCCAACAAGGUUUGAAGGGCAAAAAUGAGUUUACGAAGUGUUGGAGUGGUUUUGGCAUCGAACGGCGCGAAGUAGAGUCGAAACGAUGCAAAAACAACAUUCUGGAGCAUUGUGUACCGGUACGCCAUGAUGGCUGUACCGGUACAGCAAGCGACCCGAGCACAGGUUGCUCUCGGGUUUGAGUCUGCGCGAAGGUGUACCGGUACGGGACCCGUGUACCGGUACACAAGCUGCGAAACCGAGCGACCUUGCUCUCGGGUUUGGGCUGCUGCGCAGGCCUGUACCGGUACACAAAUCCGUGUACCGGUACACAGGGGCUCUGGCAGCAGGGGUGAAGUCUGCUACAGAAUUAAGUUGAGGGGCCUAAUUGCAAAUGUCACAACAUGAUAUUUGGCCCACCCCUCUCCCAUUUUCACAGCAAAACCCCUCUCCUCUCCUCUCCCUCUCAUUUCCUCUCUUUCUCUCUCUAAAAGCUUGGGCUAGGGUUUGGGAAAGAAGAAGAAGAAGCAAGGAGGAGAAGAAGAAGAGCUUGGAGAGGAUCUUGUGGCUCUCCAACAAGGUGGACUUGGGUGAGCUCGUGGCAAGGGUGAGUUCUUUUGCUCAUAGAACUCUAGGGUUUGGUUUUAGACCAUGGAUUUUGGGAUUUUGAUCCUCUAAUUAUCCUAGAAAUCCUCUAAAGGCAUUGGAACACAUGGAAACUUGAGUUCUUCAUGGUGCUCCCAUGGUGGAUCACUAGGGCACCAAGUGGAUGCCCUAGGGAUGAGUAGAAAGGCUUUGUGAUGGUAUUAGAGAACUUCUUGGUGGAUUCUAAGCCAUUUUUAGCUUAGGAAUGAGAUCAAUCCAAGAGCAAACCAUAUAGGGCUUGGUUAGGAUUCAAAUUUGGGGCUUUUGCCCUAGGAUUUUUCGGGGACAAAUUGAACCCAUAGAAACCUAAUUGGGGGUGUCCUAAACGCGUGGGACAACUCCGUUUGAGGAUACGAAAAUGUUUAAGUAUAGUUCGUGUAUAAAGCACUAUUUGGGUUUUAAGGUGGGUGAAAGGAAGACAUGGUAUUCCUAACCUUCGGGAGACAUGGUAUUCUUCAUCCACUACUUCAUUAAGGUGGGUGGUGCAUUCCACGGAUACCGGAAAUCUCUUUAUGUCUAAGUGUCAUUUUUAUUUGAGCAUAUGAGUAUAAUUGAGCAUUAUGCAUAAUAGGGUUAAAUUGUAACCUUCUUAUAGCAUGAUGUGAAUUCAAAUGCAUGUUAAAUGUUUGUAAGUUCGAGCGAAUGAUAUUCCCUAUGUAUGCAUGAUCGUGACAAGAACCUAGAAGGGUUAGUAAACAAAAGUGACACUUUGACAUAGAUUUAGCAAGUGACAUUGAUGAGUCUAGAGGACUUAGAAAACAAGUGUGGUAUUAAUGACAAAGAACAAGAACAAGUAGUGUACAUGAUACUAGUAGAGGUUAGAGAAUGCAAGUAAAUUGGGUUAGUAACAUUAUGACAUAAACAACUUAGAAUUAAGGGUCACAUGUACAUGGUUCUCCUUGAAGUCAAGGAAUGGAUUGAACUUGGAAUCCUUAAAGUUAAGGAUUGAUCGUACUCACCUAAUAGUCCUUGCUCGAGGGCGGUAGCUCCCCCUCGGGCGAUGUGCUCCGGAGUUGUCAUCACUGGGUGGUAGCGGUUAUCUCUCCAGAGGGCGGUCCCAUCGGGUUGUAGCGGUUAUCUCCCCGACAAUAGGGAUUUGGGUUGGUGAGUUUGUGAGGGCGAAACCUACGGGCUAGCCAUGAGAUUGGGUAAUGAAAAGUUAAUCUUGCAUUCAUCAUGAGCAUUCUAUCGAGCAUAG
rnacentral:lncRNA from 1 species